rnacentral:lncRNA from 1 species
UUUUUUCAAUAGGAUUGUGCCGUCAAUUCAACCCUACCUAUAUAAUUUUUAUUUUCCAGUUGGAUUGUGUCUUCAUUCCGACCCUAUCCAUAUAAAUGUCUUUCUAUGUAAGGUCGUUCCAUCAUUUCAACCCUGCCUACGUAAUUAUAUCAUUUCUAUUUCCCAAUUGAGUAGUACCUUUUCAUGAAGUAUAUCUUUUCAAUUGAAUUGACCCAAUGAAAUUAACUUUAAGACCCAAAUAUUUUAAUAUUGUAUUACAUAUAAAUUAAGCUUCUUUAGAUGACAAUACAUUCAUGUACAGAUAUAUAAUUAAUUCAUAAGUCCAUAAAAUAGAAAAAAGUUCUCUGUAGACUAAUAUUUUUUUAUUACAUUUUUGCAGGAGAUUCAACUAAAUGAGCUUAUAACUCACCAAAUUCCGUUGACUGAGAUCAACCAAUCAUUUGAGUUGUUGAAAGACCACCAUUGCGUCAAGAUUAUUAUCAAGUUCUAAUAAAUUAAACCAAUUGUUAGAACAUAUUAAUGCAUGGUGAAAUUAUAUACUCAAUUAUGAAAUAUGGUUUGAUUUAUAUAUGCACUAUAUAUUGUAUGCUUAUGAUAAAUUAAAUAAAACAUUGUAUUGCUAUACAUAAAUGUGUAUGCCAUGUGGCUUAUACACUAUUGCAGGAUUGCUAUUCAAAUAUCAGAAUUAUAGCAAGAUUUGUUCCCAAGUUUUAAUUUCAAGGCUUAUAAAUAGCCAUCUUUCUCUAUUUAUUUUGUUUAGUUCUUUAUUUUUAUUUCAUUUUAACAAUAUAUGUGAGUUGCAACUUUUAUUUACCUUUUAUACUUUUAAUAUUAUUAACAAAAACUUUGACUACGCUAUUGAGUAUAUAACAUUUCAUUCUCUUUAAUGUUCCUCUCUUGUGUAUGGGAUGUGAGUUAUUGGAUCAAGUAUCUUUUCAAUAUAACAAAAAUAAAAGUUUUUUUUCAGUAUAAACUGAUUUUUAAGAAUCACAUGCAAAAGAUGAUUAUUAUUCCUAAUUUAAUGGUAUAACAAGUAAUCAAUUUAACUUAUAUUAAGAGAUACUUUUUCAUCCUCAAACAAAAACACUACAAAAAGAAUAUCAAAACUCGGUAAACUUAUUUUAGCUCUUUAAUUACACGAUAUUUAAGCACCCCCUUAACGAUUUUAAAGUGAAUUAAAUACCAUCGUUUAAUUAUAAUACUACUCUUACAUUCCACAAGCUUGUUACUGGGUCGGGCCGCAUUAGCCUAGCCCAUUAACCUUGUAUGAAAUCGGUUUAUCGACCGGGUUCACCACUGAUGUGUCGGCCUGGAUUGGGUUCCCACUGAUGUGUCAGACCAUACCAAUCUGAAUAGUAUUUUGGAAGAAAAAUAACCGGACCACAACCCAUGAGCAAAUUCUUUCGGACCUGAUGGGCCUCUUCUGGGUUUGGCUCAUUGGGCUAACAGACCGGGUUAGACUAAUUUUUUUUAAUCAUCAUUUAUUAAUUCGAAAGUAUGAGUCAAUUGUCAAUGUAGUGUAUUAUUUUCUAUUUAAUUUUAAAAUAAUUAUAACUAUUUAUGAAAAUGGAUUGAUUACAUUUUAUUAUUAGAAAGAGCUAAUUUUAAAAAGAACUGAAUUAGAAAGAGCUAAAUAGAAAUUUGGGCAAAUUAGACUUUUUUUUGGGUAAACUUCAAACGACCUUUUCUUUUUGUACAUGAAGAGUUAGGUAGCCCAUGUGAUAUCAAAUGAACGAUCAUUGAUUCCUCUUUCCAACGCCACUAAGUUUGAUAAAUUUCGAAUUCAGAUGAGGGAGAUAUGCUCGUUUGGGUUCACCCUGCUUGCCAGCUAAGGAUAUUCAUCUGUAUUAUGGAGGAAUAUUCCGGUCUUUUCGUUGCCCCGCUAGUCUAAAAUCUUUUGCCCACCAAAGUUAUGGGGACUAACCAGAUCAAGUCAAUUGGGAUUCAUUCUAAAAUGUUCAAGAAAGCUAGGGCAAAGUUCAGGAGAAAAGAGGAGUUUCAAUAAUUUCUUCAAGAUUUUGAAGAAAUCGACAAGAACUUAGUUCCCUCAAGGUAUGUAAACUUUAAUAGUAUUGGAUUUGUUCGUCCUCACUCCAAUCAUGUAUAAUUUUACCCAUGAAUUCAUUCUUGAUGUUGUUUAUUGACUUCUUGAGAAUUUCUUGAGCUUAAUUGUUAAUUGAGGUCCUUGAAAUUCUUGAGGCAAAGUUUUGCGAGAUAGUUGAGUCUCUUUAUUGAGUUUUGUGUGGGUUUUGCUGAAAAUAUUCUAGAUUUGUGAAAUUUUGUGAAAUUGGAUUAUAGAACUGAAGUGGGUAUGUGUUGAGUCGAGUUUGAGAGAGGAAGAAACUAUUGGGAAAUAUACGCGCCCAGGUCUACGCCGUGAAGGCCCUUUAAAAAUUCAGUCCCCAGAAAAUUUCCCUCCUCGCCGCGUCGAGAAGGAAAUACGAAGUUCACUAUCCCAAAAUUUAUUUUUGGGACCAAAACAAAUAAAUCCCCCACCGCGUCAUGCCAGUGUUCACUAAUUUGUGUGUUCACUAAUUUCUUAUUAUCAACUAUAUAAACUCCAUUGAUCAUUGAGAGGUCCUACAUUCCAAAUCAUAAUUCUUGAAAUCACAUUGCAAAUUUAAUAUAGAGUUAAGAGCAAUGUUCAAGGGAGUUCUUCGAGUCAUUAUGAGAAGUAUUUCACAAACUUUUAAAAUUUAUUUUUGGACUUGAGCACUUGAGUAUACGUGUGAGGAGAGUAGAGUUCCAUUUUUCAAAAUGAAUAUAUGGGGACUAAGCAUUCCCAAGAGUAAAUGUUUUACAUUUGAAAUGAGAGGAAACAUUGAUUUCCAAAUGAGUUCGUGAAGAGAUUUUGAGCAUAAUCUCUUUUAAGAGAACCUUUUGAGUAAUCAAAAUCAUAAAUAAUGCAUGUGUCCAUAUCAAAUCAAUUACAAAACAUAUAACUGAAUCAAAUGAUGCAUAUUAAGAUUGAAAUCAACAAUUGAAUCAUAACAAAUAGGACCUAUGGAGAAUUGAGAUCAAACCCUAAUCAAAUUGAUGAAAUUGAAUUACAAACUUGGGAGAUAUUUUGGGAUCUAAUGGAUGAAUAAAUCCAGUGGUGAAUUCCAACAUGAUCAAAGUCUAGCAAGCAAGAAAGAAGAGACUUGAAGCUUGGAACCCUAGAUUUCUUCCUUGAGCUUGAGAGAGAAUUGGAGAGAAUGAACUUGGAUGUGAUUUAAGGAUUUCAAAGAGAUUGAGAGGGUUUGGGUAAAUUUAGGAAUAGAAAGGUAGUUAUAAGGCAUAUAAUUAAUGUUAAAUGACAUACUAUUGGUAUAAAAUGCCUAGGAAAAGACUCUAAUACCCUUAAUAUAUAACUGUAAAAUAGUCUUACGGGUUGGACUCACGGUUCGUAGAAUUAUCUACGGCCUGUACUGGUUCUACAAAAACCCAAAAAUUCAUCCAAUUUCCACAUAACCUUUCUAUGGCUCAUCGUCUAGUCUAUGGUCUGCAUACCCCUUCUGUAGAACACCACUCCGAGUCAAAAAUUUCACUACAUCUGGAUCCCUUCUAAGAGACCCCUUCCAUGACCCUUAUAACAAACAAUGACCCGUCAAAUCUUCCGUAGGUUUGAGUUAUUAAAUCUAAUCUUUGAAUUCUUUCUACAAAAGUCAUCUACGACUCGUCAAACUCCAUACGACUUAUCAUGCCAAGUCAUAUGCCAAACUUCAAUAACAUGAAAUUUCUAAAACUCAACUCAACUCAAUUUCUAUGAUUCCUUUCUAUGGUCGUAGGGAUUUCUACAUUCUAUGUUUUGUAGAUUAAACUUAUAGUUCACUACUUUAGUAAAAUUGUCGGCAUUUUUUUUCAAUUUGACUUUAUAAUUUCCAAGUGUUAUAGGAAGAUUGUUGUAGGCGACUUUGAAACUAUUUCUCAUGGUAAAUCAUUUGGUAAGCCUUUGUGACCAUGAAACUUCAAUUCUCUUUUAUCAUUUAUGGAUUUUAAGAACAAAACUUCAGGGUUUUUUCUCAUGAACUUGAGUUCUAAACUAAAAUGGUGAAUGUGAACUGAUUUUAACCCCUUUCCAAAAUGAUUCCAAAUGGCUUGGUUGACGUUUUCAACUAAACAUUUUUCGUAUUCAAACUUCAUUUGUGGAAUUGCAUUUUUGAGUUGAUUAAUCCAUUUUUUUAAAAUUUAAGAUUUGAGUUUGUGUUUUUGAAAUCUUAUUGUGAUUACUUGAUUUAAUUAGAUUCGGAAAGAGAAGGCUCAAGUCUUGGAAUGAUUUUUGUUUGAAUUUAAGGCAAGUGAUCUUCUAAACCUUGUAAAACUCGUAGAAUUGUGUAUUUUCCUUUAUUGUGUGUGAAGGAGUAACGAGAAUGAGGUGAUGGUUUAAAUACCAUGUGAUAUUCCUUCUCCUUCAUCUAUUUUCAAGGCUUACAGAGGAUACAUUAAGAGGUACUUGUUUGUCAUCCGGCGGGUUCUCUUGAUCCUUAUUUUAUGCUUUGUUCUAUUUGAGAAACAAAGGAAUUGUGACUUGUAGUUGUCUUUUGAUAUUAUACUUUAUACACUAGUGACUUGUACAUGUGACAAUUAGAAUGACUAAGAUUUCCACUCUUACGUUAUUAUUUUUUUACUUUUGAUAUUUCUUUCGUAUUUUUGGGUUUGAGACUGAAUUAUCUUGAUGGAAAUAAACAAGUACUAUCACGUCUAUUUUUGAAUCAUGACAGUUUCUCAUCGGGAAAAAAAGGAGAAAAAGAUUUCAUUGAUUUUCUUGUAAACUAAGAAAAUGGCGUAAAAAGUUUUUUUUAAUCAAGUAGGUCUUAGAAUCGUUUCUCAAAAAUUCAUCUAACCUUUCUAUGUCCCAAAAAUUGCACGUAAAUUUGUGAUGUAGUAAAGAAAUGAGAUUUGUGAUGUAGGGUGUGUUUGGUAUGGAGGAAAACAUUUUCCGGAAAAUGUUUUCAAUUUUCUCAUGUUUGGUUGGGUCAAAUAUUUUGAAAAAUGUUUUCCAAAUCAACACAUUCCUCAAAUUUAAGGAAAAUGACUUCCCUUUAAUACUUAAAGAAAACAUUUUCCAAAACUCUCUUCCAAUCUUCCCCUACCCACCCCACCCUACCAGCCUCUAUCCACCCACGCCUACCAACCCCCCAACCCACCCACCCCCAUCCCACUAGCCCCCUACCAGCCUCCACCCCCACCAUGAAAAUUUUUUAAGUUUAUUCUUUUUAAAAAAAUUUCAAGUUCAAGAAUUGUUUUCUACUCUAGUAAAAAAUAAAGUUAUUUUCCAAAAACAUUUUUUAAUCAAAAAACAAACACUAAAAUAUUUUUUCGGAAAAUAUUUUUUACUCACCAACCAAAAAUGAGAAAAUAAGUCAAAUAUCUACUUGUUUCCAGGAAAACAUUUUCUAGAAAAACAUUUUCCAUGGAAAACAGUUUUCUUCUUACCAAACACACCCGUAGUAAAGAUAUGAGAUUUUCAUCAACAAAGGACGAGUUGUGAAACACUAAGAUUUAUGGAUUGUCAUCAAAGUGUAGUUUGAACUGUCAUUAAUAUAUAUUGGGAAGACACCAAAAUAAAGAGAAAAAUAUUAAAGUUUUUGUGGGCCAAUAAUAAAUUUCAGAUAUUUUUAAGAAGUUAACAUAUCAAGAAAAUGAUGUUUAAAAUAUUAAUUAUAUAUUGGCUUGUAAAAAAAAGACGUGCAACAUUUUAUAAAUUUAGUUUGAAAAAACACACUUUUAGGAGAGUGAGUGUUACGAUCCAGACUGUCGUUAGUGGCAACCACACUAACCCUCGGGUGCGAAAAUCAUUACGACAACCCAAUUAACCAAUUUAACCAAAAUACUAGGUAUUUAAAGAUACAUAAUUAGGUUUAAAUGGCGAUAUAAUUAAUACGGAGUCCCCAUAAACCCAAAUUUUAACAAAACAACUAAAUUAAUGCGGAAAUACCCCUAAAACCUGAAAGUCAUUGUACUAAAACUCUACUAACGACAAGUCUAAGAAUAAGGGAUACGACCCUAAACUAAACAAUCACCUUAAACAAAUAGUCCGAGUCUAAAAAGAAUGGAAUUCAAUAAGAGAGAUACAUGGCCUAGAAGAAAUGGCUCACCCUUGAAUCAGGUGACCCUCAAUAGUCACUAAUCUGAGGUCUAUCAAUAGCCGCUUGAAUGAUGUCCAGUACUCAACAAUGAAAGAGCAAGAGCAAUAUUAGUACACAACCACAGUGUAUUGGUAGGAUCGCACGUCUUUCCCAUUAUGUGAAACAUACAACAUCAUAAACAUGCUUACACGAACAUAUACAGUAUCGAUUAUCAUUUACGUGUAACGUACAAUUUUGCAUUCCUAUUAACAAGUAUAUAAAUAUAACAAGUAAAUUAUCCUUCCACAGCACCCAAUUCAAUAGUCCUCUCAUGGAAUCCAAAUCCAAAUAACUAGCAUACCAGAAUGUGGUACCCGAUCCAAUGUUAUGUUGAAACGUGACAACGGAUUCCAUUUAUAUGUUAGAAUAUGGCAACCGAUCCUAAUAGUUAUGCCAGAACAUGGCAACCAAUCUCAGUUAGUAUGCAAAAAUGUGGCAACCGAUCCAAUCCACACACCAUUAGUACCAAAAGAUGGGAAAGAAUGGGUCCGAGAGUCCUUGGCGCUCUGAGAGGCAUGGAGCACCACAGCCUGACGAAUAGAGGCUGUCCUUAGGGGCUCCGGAAGGCGCGGUGCCCCAGGGCCUGUCAGAUGGGAGUUUCAAUUUUUCUUAUCUAUUUUUCAUCUAUAAACCUUCUAAACUUCCAUGGAUCUUUCCCCAAACACUUAGGAUCACUAAUAAACCGAUACCCAAUAGAUUAUACUCGAGAAAAAACCUUAAAAACACGAAUCAAAUCAACUAAAGGCAUGUAACAACUCAACCAUUAAGAUUUCAACAAUGUUCUUCAAGAACUCCACUUUUCAUCAUUCAAUCUACUCAAAAUACCCUCAAUUAAACAAUUUGGUAUAUGGGUGAACUAAACCAACAUGAAAAGAUCUCGCAUACCUAAAUAGGGAUCACCCUCGAUGAAUUCCACUCGAAGAUCUUGGCUUUCUUGAUGGAUUAUUUAUCUUUCUCCCUUCUUCCUUCUUCUCUUUUCUCUUUUCCAAGCCCUAAGCGUAAAUAACCUUUCUAUCUGAAUGUCAACUUAUUUUCACCCCAAAUAAACUCUUAAAAUGAAUUAGGAAAUAGAUGGGUGAAAAUAUAAGUUUUUCCUUACUAAAAUCUGGAAUUGGACUUUCCUCACUUCAAUAGCACAACUUCCUAAAAGCAUAUCUCCCUCAUAUGAUAUCAAAAUCAUGCAAACUCGGCGCCAUUGGAAAGAGUUUGCACGACAAUCACCCAAAUUGAAUCAUAUUGUCUGCGAGACCUUGGAAAGCCUGUGAUAAAGUCCAUAUUAACCAUCUCCCACUUCCAUACCAAAAGUUCUAUAUUUUGAGCGAAACCUACUGGACUUUGGUGUUCUACUUUCACUUGUUGGCAAUUAGAGCACUUUUCAACACUCAUUAAUAUCCUUCUUCAUACCUUACCUCCACACCUCUCUCAUAUCGUGGUACAUCUUGGUGGAACGUGGAUGAAUGGAAUAUUUGGAGCUAUGAGCAUUCUUCAUGAUCCUCUCUUGGAAUCCAUCCACCCUAUGUACACAAAAUCUACCUUGAUAUUUCAGCGCCCCAUCUACCCCUUGUUCAAAAGUCAAUACUCUUUGCUUGUUAAUAUUCGCCUUCAAAUCAAGCAAAAUGAGGUCUUGGUCUUGCUUUUCUUUCACCUCUGACACUAGUGAUGAUUCAGCCCCAUUAGUCACCACUAUUCCUCCUUCUGUGGAAUCCAUGACUCCUAGGCGUUCAAUUCUGUGCACAUCUUUAGCUAACUCUCUCUUUCCUUCCUUGACAUGGGUGGUACUCCCCAUGGAUAAGCUGCUUAAAGCAUUACCAACCACAUUAGCCUUACAUGAGUGGUAAAGAAUACUUAUGUCAUAAUCCUUAAGUAGUUCUAAGCACCUCUUUUAUUUGAAAUUGAGCUCUUUCUGGGUGAAAACAUAUUGAAGGUUCUCCUGAUCAGUGAAUAUAGCAACAUUAACACCAUACAAGUAGUGAUAUCAUAUUUUCACGGUGAAUACUACACCAGCCAACUCUAAGUCAUGGGUUGAAUAAUUCUUCUCAUGAACUUUCAAUUGUUUGGAGGCAUAAGUUAUAACUUUGUCAUUCCGCAUUAAAACACAACCCAACCCAACUCUAGAUGCAUCAUAAUACACCACAAAACCUUGAGUGCCCUCUGGUAAGGUCAAAACUAGGGCAGUAGUUGACCUCUUUUUCAAUUCCUUAAAGCUUUUCUCACAAGCUUUAGACCAUUGAAAUUUAAAUGUCUUCUGAGUCAACUUAGUCAAGGGAGAUGAAAUAGAUCAAAACCCUUCAACAAAUCUUCUACAGUAGCCAUCCCAAUUCAAGAAACUCUAAGCCAACUCUGAACUGCUUCUAUCUUUUGGGUAUCAUACUAAUCCCAUAAUCGGAAACUAUGUGGCGCAAAGAUGUUAAAGACUUGAGACAAAACUCACACUUCAAGAACAUAGCAUAUAACUCCUUAUCUUUAAAAGUCUGAAGAAUUAUCAUGAGGUGACUAUCGUGACCUUCUUCAUUCCUUAAAUAGAUCAAUAUGUCAUUAAUGAAGAUGAAAACAACCAUAUCUAAAUAAGGUUUGAAGACUCUAUUCAUGAGAUCCAUAAAUGUUGCAGGAGCACCCUAAAGCUGGUCGAAAUCUUUUAACUUUGCUGGUGUCAUUCUAUAUGGCAGAAUAGAGAUAGGACGAGUAUUUGGGAUGAUGUGUAUGCCGAAGUCUAUUUCUCUCUCAAAAGGAAUUCCGGGUAGAUCAUGAGGAAAGACUUCUAGAAAUCUUUUACUAUAGGAACUAACUGAAGGGAAGGUACCUCAACACUUGAGUCAUUAACUCGGACUAAGUAUACCCCCUUUGAAAUUAACUCUCUCUCCUUAAGGUAUGAAACCAAACGACUCUUAGGCACUACUAAACUACUACUUCACUCUAUUACUGGUUCAUUAGGAAUCUGAAACUAGACAACUCGAGAUCUAUAGCCUAGUGAUGCAUAACAUGCAUGAAGCCAGUCCACACCUAGAAUGACAUCACAAUUUACCAUGUAUAACUUCACUAGGCCAGCCAUGAUGUUCUUGUGAUUGAUAGAAAUAGGACAAUCACGAUACACUCUUUCUGCUAGAAUAGACUCUUUAACAGGGGUAGAAAUACAUAAAGGUUCAAAAAAUUUCUUACGAAGAAUCUCAAACUGGUUUGCAACAUAAAAAGUUACAAAUAAAAACUCGCUCCUGCGUCUAACAAAGCAUAAACAUCAAAAGUAAAGACUUUUAUAAUACCCGUGACAACAUUUGGCGAGUUCUCUUGCUCCUGAUGGCUAGUUAGUGCAUAGACGCGAUAUGUUCCUCUGUAAGUGCUAGUAUUAGCUCUCUAGGUGCAGACCUUUCUGGUGGAGCAACUGAUGAAGAUUGGGCUCUAUUGCUUUGAUUUCCAUCACCCUAUUUAUUCUUAGGACACUAUUUCAUAAAGUAACACUCUUGACCGCACUUGAAGCAACCCGAAUGGCCAUCACGACACUUACCGGCGUGGUUUCUACCACACGUACCACAUGAAGGAGCCCAUCUACCUCCUUGUGCCACACUACUUUCAAAUUAGGCUGGUCUAGCCUUGAAAUUUUGUGAAUUCUUGCCAUUACACUCACCUCUGUUUCGAGGCGCAGGUGCACUAGUAGAUGAUAGUGCAUGCCCCUUUUGUUUCCGAAAUUUUGUCCGAAUCGAACCACCUUUCUGCUGCCCAGACUUAUUCCAGUCUUGGCUUUCUUGUCCAUGUACUCCUCUUUGUCUAUCAACAUCUCUUCUUCAACUUGCUGCACAUAGACCAUCAAUCGGCAUAUUUCCAUGUCACGGAUCAACAUUGCAAGAUGCACGACCCAAGCCAACAAUAAACAAACUUAUUAAACUCCUCAUAUCCUUAACCAUCUCAGUAUCAUAGCGAUACAGUUAGGUGAACUUCAACACAUACUCGUGAAAACCUAAGGAGUCCUGUUUUAAAGUAAGGAACUUUACACCUUGUCCACUUUCAGUUAUCGGGGAAAUAAAGACCCCAAGAAAGCCUCUUCGUAACAAGCCCAACCCGGAUGUUGUGCAUCCUCAUCUCUUCCUUCCUUCCACUGAUCGAACCAAGUCCUAACCACAUUCUCCAGUUGGUAUGCAACUAGCUUGACUCUCUCAACACCAAUAACAUGCAUCACAUCGAGAACCUUCUUCAAAUCUUCCACAAAGUUUUUCGGAUCCUUAAUGGUGCUUGAAUUAGUGAAACUACGAGGAUUCAUUUUCAAGAAGUCACUAAUCCUCGAGGUGUCAGCCUCUUCUCAUUGAGCUCCUCCCUAUUGACCAACCUGGUUAGUGACAACUUGACUCAACAUCCUAAUAGCCUCAUGGAACUCAGUGUUGCUAACGUCCCCUUGAGGUUGCACUUCAAGUGCAUUGAGUAACUCUUGUUCCUUAGGUUCAAAAUUUCUCCUAGAUGAGCGACCUCGUGAUGCUCUUCGUGGAGGCAUAAUUAUCUCAGAUAUUCGCAAGCACGAAUUCGAGAGAGAGACUUUUUGAAAUAGACUUUAAUGCACGAAAAAGAAUAUGAAAAAAGUGAGGAAUUCGUAAAUGUUUUAGCAUCACAAUCAUAGAUGUGGAAAACUUUAUACUAAUGAUUAAGACUCUAAGGAUACGACUUCAUACUGCUUAGGACUCUUGAACUCUAUGCUCUAACACCAAGGUUGUCACGCCCCGAGUCUACACCCUGUACAUGGCUUGCACCCAAUGACCAUUAUUAGUCUUAAGUGAACCCUUGUCCUGACUUACUUAACUCAGUGGAAGAUUUAACUCAAAUAAAACAGUCUUAUGAUAUAACUUAAAGAAAUAAUAAGUUGGUCAAAUUGUCAAUUAAGUCUCAUAACAAAGAAAUCUGAAAUAAAGAAAUAAGAGACUCAAAACUAACCAUCUGGCUGUCUAUGACGCCUCUACAAUAAUGAAAUGGAUGUUGGGACAGACCCCACAAUAUCCUAUAAAUGAAAUACUAGAAAAAAAAUAAAAGUGACCUCGAGAAAGCAAGGAGGCUCACUACUGGCUACAAAUGCUCAAUUGGAUCAAAGAGGCAUUGGAUGAUUCUAAUCAUGUUUUCCUGCGUCUCCAUCACAAGACGAUGCAAGCCAUCUGGUAUCAGUACAUUGAAUGUAUGAGUAUGCUAGUUCAAAUGUUAAACGACAACUUAAAGCUUGAAAAGAAUAAAAUGAACUUACAUUGGCUCUACUCAACUUAUGAAUAUUCAACUCAAUGUAUAUAUACAAGGCAAUUAAAACACAUGCGAUAUAUAUGAAGGUCGGUGAAACAAUAAAAUAACUUAGUUCGUUAAAGAAAAUGCAAUAACAAAUUCAACUUAACUUAUAUAUGAAAGUAACAUAGUUCUGUGGGAGAUUAUCUAACCGACAACCAUUACUAUGAACCUAAGCAAUGGUACAACGUCUUACCUCACGUUGCAAGAGGACCAUCAUGUACCUUGCCAUCAAUAUAGAACUUGAACUACUAAGUGGAUCCACUAGUCCAUGCUAAAAAGAACAAAGGAAUAAUCUAAAAAUUAUGACCCUUCUAUCUAUCCAUGUUGGCGACAUGGUUUAUGAGGGAUUAGGUUAGUAUAAACUCGCGUCCCCAUGUCGGUGCUCAAUACUACUCCCAAAAUAUUUAGCUCAUAUGUUUUAAAAGUAACUUCUUCUCUGAUUUGAGAUAAUUUGCUCAAACUUAGCUUUUAAAAGCUCUCUUGAAAAUCAUAGUUUCCUCUUUACAAAAACUUUUCAAUGGCUCUGUUGUAAGUCUAGCUUCCUUUCUUGCUCAAUAUGUGAAAACAUUUGUAACUCUUAGGAUAUACUUAGAUCCCUUAUAACUUUUGUGAAAUGAACUCAACUAUUUACUAUUUGCUCAACUUGUAACUUAACUCUUAAGGAGUACUUAGUUCCCUUAUAACUUUUGAGAAUUUUACUCAACUCAUUACUCUUUGCUCAACUUUAAGCUUGAUCCUUAAAAUAAAGUUAAAUUUUUUGUGUAAGACUCUUGAAAAUUUUUAAGAACUUACUUUGACUUGCUUCUUAACUUUUAGAAUUGACUAUCAACUUAUUUGACUUUGAUCUUAACUUUCCUUGAAUUGGAUUAUGAAUUCAAGGUUCAUGAUCUCAUGUUUAUUGAUGAUUUCAUGAUAUCUAGAUGUAGAGUUUUUGGCCAAAAUCAUCCUUAAACUAUACCCUAAACUUAAACUAUAUCCUUAAGGUAUCAUUCUCAGCUAAAAACAUCCUUAAAGUAUUUUAAAGUGAGCAAAUUUCAUCCUUAUAUUUUAAUUUAUCAGAAAACUAAAAAAUCCCACAAAAAUUAAGUCAUUCCUUCCUAAUUAAUAUUCUUAGAUACACCAAAAAUAUUAUCGUGACCGUUUUUUGUAAUUGAGUUUAGCGUUAUGCAAAAUCUUUUAAUUUUGACAGUUUUUAAUUUAUUUUUCAGGAAUUUUAUAGUAAAAAUAUUAUUAGUUGAAAUAUGUUUCUUCUCAAUUGAAUAUGCUUGAAGCGGUGUUUGUUGAAGAAUUUUCAUUUCUAAUAAUGUAGAAAGAAACUCAAAUGCAAGAAAUAAUUAAUAUUUUGAUCACUUCAAUAUCUGAUUGACCCAAAAUUUUUAUUGAUCUAAAUACAGUUUGACUAUGAAAAAGUUAAAGAUAAUUAAGCUCCAAUUCUUCCUGUUCUUAAAUGAGAAAAAUAGCAGUGUGCAGUCACAACAUCCAAACAAUUUUUUAUUUUCAUAAGCAAUAAUUUAAGAUUUUAAAUAUUUUUUUAGAAACAUCAUAUACAGAAAGUAAUGAAAUUAUGCAGGAAAAUUUUUGUAGAUGGUUACAUGACUGCUCAUGUUUUUAAAGGAUCCCAUAGUUUUUUUACGAUAUCUAACAUAAGGAUGAAAUUGCUCACUUUUAAAGACUUGAAGGAUGUUUUCUACUGAGAAUAAUACUUUAAGGAUGUAGCUUAAAUUUGGGAUAUAGUUGAAGGAUGUUUUUGGCUUCGAAUCAACUAAGAAAUGAGGGUAUAUCACUUAGGGACUAGUACGAAAAGAAAAGCAAACAAUGGGGUCUCCAGGCGUCCUUGACGCUCUGAGAGGCGUGGAGCGUUAGAGCCUGAAGAACAGAGGUUAUCCUGAAGAGCUCUGGCUGGCACGGUGCGCCAAGGCAUGUCAGAAAGAGGCUGUCCUCAGGGGCUCUGGCAGGCACGGCCACAGGGCCUGUCAGAUGGGAAUUUUGACUUCUCUUCUUCGUUUUUUUAUCUCUAAACCUUCUAAACUCCCAUGGAUCUUCCCCCAAACACUUAGGAUCACUAAUUACCUCAAUACCCAAUAGAUUAGUAUCGAGAAACAACCCGAAAAACAUGAAUCAAAUCAACUAAUGGCAUGUAACAACUCAACCAACAAGAUUUCAACAAUGUUCUUCAAGAACUCCAUUUUCAUCAAUCAAUCUACUCAAAUCGCUGAAUUAAACAAUUUGGUGUGUGGGUGAACUAACCCAACACGGAUAUUAAUAUCUCAUAUACCUUAAUAGGAUCACCCCCGACGAAUUUCACUCGAAGAUCUUGGCAUUCUUGAUGAAUUCUUGAUUUUUCUCCCUUUUUCCUUCUUCUCUUUUCUCUUCUGUUAGGAUCGAAUUCACGCGCACACACUAGAUGAAUGAAGAACACAAGAACUUUCAAGAGAAAGAGAUGAGAGAUCUAGAGAGAGAAAGAGAAUACCCAAUAUUUCAUGGUAAAACCCCGUGAGUAAACUUCCACGGCGGUAAGGUAUAUUUAUAUUAAUAAAUCAGAGUAUUUUUUGUUACAGAGAAUAAAUAGGAAAACCUAAAAUAGAGAAUAAAUAGGAAAUCCUAAAAUAGAGAAUAAAUAGAAAAACCUAAAAUUAAUCAGGCUCCACUACCUAACAAUUCUCCCACUUGGAGACUGACUCAGUCAUCUAAAAAAUACAUUCUCAAAAAAAAAAUCUCUUUAUCAUCAACAUCUUUACCGCACCGCAACAUCUGUAGCAACAACUACAGAAAACCAACCGAGGUUUUACGUAACCUCAGUUUCCCAACAUCAACACAUUUCGUCAACAUGUCUGCCGGGUUCUUUGCACCCUCUAUCUUCUUCAAGCACAUAUCACCAUCCUCCACUGCCCUGCUAGUGAAAUGGUAUCGCCUUCUGAUGUGCUUUGUCUUCGAAUGAUAUACUGUAUUUUUCACCAACUGUAUGACACUCUGGCUAACUGAGUAAAGAAUCUUCUCGCUCUGCUUCUUGACCAAUUCCUCAAGAUAAUCUGCCAGCCAUAUCAUCUCUUUCCCAGCUUCAGCUAUUGCCACAUACUCAGCUUCAGUAGAUGAAAGAGAAACACACUAUUGAAGCCUGGACAUCCAACUCACUGCUGUUCCACCUAUGGUGUAAAAAAUGUACCCGGAUGUACUCUUGCUCGAGUCAACAUCCCCACCAAGAUCAGCAUCCACAAAACCUUGUAGAGUCACCUUGUCUUUGCCAAAACAAAGUGAAGUACUGGAUGUACCUCUCAGAUAUCUAAGAAGCCACUUCACAGCUUCCCAAUGCUCUUUCCCAGGGUUCGCCAUGUACCUGCUAACUACUCCCACUGCAUGUGUUAUAUCAGGUCUAGUGCUGACCAUAGCAUACAUCAAACUACCAACUAUUGAAGCAUAUGGAACAAAUGCCAUGUGAUCACGCUCCUCGGCAGUCUUGGGUGACUACUCCUUUGACAAUUUAAAGUGAUUUGCCAAUGGAGUAGUCCUGGGUUUAGCAUCAUUAACCCUAAAUCUGCUCAGCACCUUCUCAAUGUACAACUCCUGAGAUAGAUUUAAAGUGCCAGCAGAUCUAUCCCGAGAAAUCUUCAUCCCAAAAAUCUGCUUUGCUAGACCCAAAUCUUUCAUCUCAAAUACUGCAGAUAACCUUGUCUUCAGAUGGUUAAUCUCUCUCAUACUAGAUCCUGCAAUCAACAUAUCAUCCACAUACAAGAGUAGAAAGACAUGAAUCAGUGUAUUUCUCGAAGUAACAACAAGGAUCCUUUUCAGCUUUGCAGAAUCCACUCUUGGUCAUGAAGGAGUCAAACUUCUUGUACCACUGCCUUGGUGCUUGCUUUAGUCCAUACAAGCUCCUGGUGAGCUUGCACACCAUGUGUUCCUUGCCUGGAACCACAAAUCCUUCCGGUUGCUGCAUAUAGAUCUCUUUGUCCAGAUCUCCAUGUAAAAAUGUUGUUUUUACAUCCAUUUGCUCUAGAUGCAAAUUUUCCGAUGCAACAAUACACAACAGAAUUCGAAUAGAGGUUAACUUCACAACAGGAGAGAAUAUUUCAGCAUAAUCGAUAUCUUUCCUUUGUGAAUAUCCUUUAACCACUUAACGAGCCUUGAACCUUCUUUUGUCAUCUGGUUCAGUCUUGAUUCUGAACACCCACUUGUUCAGCAAAGCUCUCUUCCCUGCAAGUAACUCAGUCAACACCCAUGUGUCAUUCUUCUUAAGUGACGUCAUCUCAUCAUCCAUGACUUCCUCCCACUUGAUCGAAUCCUCCACCUGUAGGGCCUCAUCAAAAGACUCUGGUUCCCCCUCAUCAGUCAGCAAUAGAUAGUGUAAUGAAGGUGAAUACCUAUCUGGUGCCCUGAUAGAUCUGGAUGAUCUCCUUAACACCUGCUCAGGAGUAACUUGCUCCACUUCAGAUUCUUCAGUAAGAGUUGGUUGAGUAUCUACUUCGACAUCUCUGGAGUUACUCUUCUCCAACUCAACCUCAACUCCCACUUGCUUUGUAAUCUCUAGAACCUUCUGCUCUCUGUCCUUGUACAGGACAGACUCAUCAAAUGUCACGUCACAAUGUCUCAGGAUCUUUUUGUUCUUGUCAUCCCAAAACCUGCAACCAAACAAAUCAGAACCAUAUCCUAUGAAUUAACACUUCACAGCCUUUGUAUCAAGGUUGUCUCUCUUUUCUGGAUCAACAUGAACAUAAGCAGUGCAACCAAAAGUCCUCAAGUGCGAGUACUUGAGUUCUUUUCCUGUCCACACCUCCUCUGGAAUCUUGAACCCUAAAGGAACUGAUGGUCCCCUGUUGAUCAAGUAUGCAGCUGUGCUCACAGCAUCCGCCCAAAGUGUUUUGGGCAGCCCACAGUAUAUCCUCAUACUCGUUGCACGCUCAUUCAAAGUUUUGUUCAUCCUCUCAGCAAUUCCAUUCUGUCUUGCCAUACCAGGAACUAUUCUCAUCAAUCUGAUUCCCUCAGCUGCACAGAAUGCCUUGGAACUCUAAUUUGUCAUACUCUCCUCCAUUUUCAGAUCUUAGGCAUUUGACUUUCAAACUGGUCUGAUUCUCAACUUCAGCUUUCCACUUCUUGAAAGUUGCAAACACAUCUGACUCAUGCUUCAAGAAGUAAACCCAUAACUUCUUGCUGAAAUCAUCAAUGAAGGUAACAUAGAAUCUGGAUCCUCCAAGUGAUGAUACUGGAGAUGGUCCCCAAACAUCUAUAUGGACCAUUUCCAACCGCACUUUCUUUGGCUCUCUAGGAGUCUUUGUGAAGCUUACUCUUUUCUGUUUGCCCAUAACACAGCUCUCCCAAAGACCCAUAUCAACAGACUUCAGACCCUCUAAUGCUCCUUUUGCAACCAACAUCUUCAUUCCUUUAGUACUCAUGUGUCCAAGUCUAUUGUGCCACAGGCAUGAACCGGAAGCACCUUCAGCAACAACGGCCAUGUUUAUACACCCUGAAGUGGUGUACACCAGAUUUGGUGCCACGAGCUACUACCAUAGCACCUUUCACGAUCUUCCACGAACCUUUCCCAAACUCUGCUGCAUAUCCCGUGCUAUCCAACCGACCAACAGAAAUCAGAUUUUUCUUGAUCCCAGGAAUAUAUCUGACAUCCUCCAAUGUCCACUGGUUUCUCGAGGUGGUCUUUAUGCAAACAUCCCCAUUUCCUUCAAUCUCUAAGGCUUUAUUGUCAGCAAGAUAUACUUUUCCAAAAUUUCCAGAUUUGAAAUUUUGAAACAACUCCUUGCUUGGAGACGAAUGGAAAGAUGUACCAGAAUCCAAAAUCCAUGAUUAAACCGGGCUGUUCACACUAAGGAUUAGAGCAUCCCCAAUGUCCUCUGCUGAAUUUAUAGAAUCAUUGGCAUCUCAAAAUUUCUGAUUUUGUUUCUUCUUUGGCUUUGUACAGUUCGUCCGAAAGUGCCCUUUUUCUCCACAGUUCCAACAAGUCACGUUUGAUCUGUUCAGUGAUUUUCCUCGAUUCUUUGAUUUUGAUCGACUAUGUUGAUUUUGCUUUCGUCUUACUUCUCCCCCUUCGAUAAACGUUGAGAGCACUGCCCGAUGAAUCUCCCACUUCUCGUUUGCGAAUACUUUCGCUAAGAACAACAUCACAGAUUUCAUCAAACUUCAGUUUCUCAGAUCCACGGAAACUGCUAAUCGCAGCAACAACAGUAUCCCAAGACUCGGGCAGAGAUGACAUCAAAAUCAACGCCUUAAUUUCAUCUUCGAAAUUAAUAUCCACAGAAUUGAGUUGACUCAAAAUCAUAUUGAACUCGUUUAUAUGAUCAGAAACGAAUCCAGUUUCAGACAUCUGUAAAUUGAAUAAUCUACGCAUCAAAUAUACCUUGUUCAUACCCGAUGGUUUUUCAUACAUGUUUGACAAUGCCUUCAACAGACCAGACGUAGUCUUCUCCUUCACGAUGUUGAAUGCCACGUUUCUUAACAAAGUCAACCGGAUCAACCCUUAGAGCCUGGCGAUCCUUGAUUUUCUACUUAUCCUCCGUCAUGGAUUCCGGCUUCACCCCGGUCAACGGUUCGUGAAGAUCUUUUUGGUACAGAUAAUCUUCGAUCUGCAUCUUCCAGAAACUGAAAUCGGAUCCAUCAAACUUCUCGAUUCCAAGCAUCGAACUAUCCGUCUUCUGUGAUAGUGUUGAAUCUCCUUAGCUCUGAUACCAUUUGUUAGGAUCGAAUUCACGCACACACACUAGAUGAAUGAAGAACACAAGAACUUUCAAGAGAAAGAGAUGAGAGAUCUAGAGAGAGAAAGAGAAAACCCAAUAUUUCGUGGUAAAACCCCGUGAGUAAACUUCCACGGCAGUGAGAUAUAUUUAUAUUAAUAAAUAAGAGUAUUUUUUGUUACAGAUAAUAAAUAGGAAAACCUAAAUAGAGAAUAAAUAGGAAAGCCUAAAAUAGAGAACAAAUAGGAAAACCUAAAAUUAAUCAGGCUCCACUACCUAACAUCUUCUCCAAACCCUAAGCGUAAAUAACCUUUCUAUUCUGAAUUCCAACUUAUUUUAACCCCAAAUAAACCCUUAAAAUGAAUUAGAAGAUAGAUGGGUGAAAAAGCAAGUUUUCCCUUACUAAAAUCCGGAGUUGGACUUUCCUUACUUCAACAACCAACUUUCUAAAGGCAUAUCUCCCUCAUACAAUAUCGAAAUCUUCCAAACUUGGUGCCUUUGAAGAGAUCUUUCCAAGGACUUUCCAACCAUAUAAAAAACUGACUCUAACUCAUCCUGAUGUAGAAGUUAGUUUGAAAAUGACCAAAAAAAUAUUCUUUAAACUUAGUAAAUUUUCCAGAUUUUUUGUAUUCUUUCCUAAAUGAUAAUUUUUUAGUUUCUUAGCUAAUUCAUGGAUGUUACGAGUUACGAGAUGUUACAUAAAAUGUUAGUCAUUCACGCUAAGAUCAUUUUUGCGAGUUUUACUUGCCUGAAUUCAAUUUUGGAAAGUCGUACGGAUUCCUUAAUGUCUUAGAUAUCCACUCAUGUGUUCAAGUUCAUAAUUCGAUAUCUCAUUCAUUAUCAGAUUUCCCUAGACAUCAAUUACUCCAAUUUCUUCCAAAUCUGGACUAAGUUGAGAAAUUUUAAGUUACUACCAAAUGAUUUUCUUGCACAAUUCUUUUCCAUUGACUUUUUUCGAAUGAUGAAAUCAUGUCAUCACAAUAGAUAUAAAUUUACCCAUCACUCGUCCUCGAGUGAUCAACUAGGAAAGAUUGGCUAAAGAAAGGGUAGAUUAGUACCUGAUUGCUAAACAACUGAAGAUACUUGUCUCGCAUGUCUUUAGCUUACGGACAUUGCAAUCAAUAAUUCAAUCAUUUUUUCCUCAUUAGGAAGGUCUUGUUUAACAAAAUUGAGUCUCACUUUAUAUGAUAUAAUCACUAUCCCCAAACUAGCCAAUUGAAUACCUACACAUCCUCCGAUACAAUUUCUCAACAAAGUCAUCAAAAUACUCGAGUGAUAAUUAUUGUUGUAUGUACACAUUAAUAAAAACAUAGCUAUUCCCAAUAACCACCAAAGUUGAUCGUACACAUUUCCGCAACAUGUUAUCAAGGACUUCCACACAACAUCGGGACAAAUCCUUUCUCGCAUAACCAUAAUAAAAUUCUAAUCAAUAUUCAUUACCAUUAGAGGUGGACUUGAACCAACAAACACACACUCAUGAUACUCGAAUAAUCAUAGUUCUUAUCAACAUAUAUUUCUCACAACAUAAAUUUUCAUGAGCUUAAGUUAUAAAGAUUUGAUAUUUAGACAUCAAAUGUUCAUCGAGGAUAUGCCCAAGUUUACAAACCCUCCAAUAACACCAUUAAAGUGUUAGACUUAAUAAUUAGAGACUCUUAAGAACGGUAGAAUCAAACCCAAUGAUUUCAACAUUCAACCACACAUAAUCGAUACAUGACCUUAACGACUAGAUGAAAAUUAAGAUUAUCAUACAACCAUAAAUACGCAUGGUAGCUUUUCUAUAAACUCUCAUAAGCAAGGUGGUACAUGUAAGACCACUAAAAUACUUUAACAACUCCAAAAGAAUACCACAUAAGUUAUCUGAAAUAAACACGUCUUUUCAAAUCAUCCCACAAAAUGAAAACACGUGUGGGCAUAGCUAGUGCAUCACUGUCACGACCAUGUAUAAAAUCAGAUAGAUAGUAACACAAAAUAUUAUUGAAUAACACAAAAGGUUUCCUUUAAAGAGUCGAUACCAACUAUUUAUAUUCACUUAACUCCAUAUACUCUUCACACCCUUCCACUGAAGCCCACACUCUCAAUACCAACAAUCAUCAUAAGCACUCCGAACAUUUACCUUACUCUAAAUCAACAUUUUUUAAAUGAAAACCUUCUUUAGGUACUUUAAUAAUCAACUUUACGACUCAACCAACGUGGAACUCCUUUCCAAUGUUCAAUACAUGAUACUAUUGAUCAUUCCUCACCUUGCAAAUUCAUACCUUGACAAAAUAUAUCACAACGAAUGUAGACUUCCAAUGAAAAAUCUGAAUUGUUAAUUCAGUUGUACAACAAAAUCCCUUUAUCUAUCAACAUUAGCUUAUACCUUGAAGAUUUUUAUGAAUUCAUGGAUCCUUUCUUAUCAUGAAUCGCACCUCCAUAAAUCUCACAUAUCAUUCGCUAACAAUUCAAUCGUAAUCAUUACUAAAAUCAAAACAAAACAAAAAACUUAUUAACACAUUCAAGCUAAUGUUUGUACACUCAUUUCUCAAGUCUUUUCGAAUAGUUUUCCCUUAUUUGAGAAGUCUCUGACCCAAACGACGGUUUAACCAAUCUGAUGGACUUAUGACAUUGUUACCAUAGUCAUAACAAAAUGAACUGAAUCACGCGUCUCCGAACCCAAUUAUCUACCCCUCUCAAGAUAUCUCUUUGGCCUGUGCAAUCAAGAAAAUACUCUUGUCCUCGUCUCUCUCUAAGGUUUGUACUACAUUCCACUAUAUUUCCUCAUUAUGACUCUAGCUCUUUUAAGAUCUAUUUGAGUGGUACCCCACUAUCUCUUUAAACUUCUCAUACAACUAUGUUACUCGCCAAAUAUUAAAAUUAUAAAUCACAACCUUAGAUAUUCGCAAGUCAUAAUUAUUAUACAAAAUUUGCUUAACCUACAAUCUUAUGAUAUAGUUGUAUUCCAUCCCAAUCCAUCGAAAACUCAUACUACCAUUACACUUGGUUACCCCUGGCUAUCAUUAAGAGUUAAUCUUUCAUCGACAUAACACUUCUAACUCAGGUAUACUCAUCAAAUUCAAAGGACUAACCCAUAUGCACUUUCUUACUAAAAUAUUAUAAUUACCUUCACCCAAGUAUACUUUUGGGACUUUCUUUAUCCAUAAGCUUGUCAUUCUGGUAUCAAUUCACUCAUGAUAAAAUCAUCAAUCCUCGCACCACCAUCCUUUUUCUUAACAAACAAAACAGAAGCACCCACGUGGAAACACUUGGACGAUAAAACAUUUAUCAAGAAGCUCUUGGAUUUUGAGAAUUCAUCUGUCUCAAUUCUUCCAAAAUCAUAUACCAAAAAUCAAAGAGAGAAUAAGAAAAUUCUUACAAAAUCACAUACCAAAAAUGCUGUAAAAAACGAACAUAUUCCCUCCUAUUUAUACGGCUAACCUUUACUUUCCUAUGCUCAAAAUCCACCCUAGAAAAUAUGAAGAAAGAGGAAAAAUCCAUUGUUAGUAUAAAUCAUAAAUGUUGCACUGAAAAAUAAAAGAAAAAAAACGCAAAGAGAAUCCAAUGGUAAAAUGUAAAUGGCAUAUCAAUAAUCUCAAAUGAAGAUACUCAAAAAUGAGAAGAAGUCAGAAAUUCAUAAUCAAACACCCAACAAUAACCCAGCAAAAACAUAAAAACAAAAUCAAAGAAAGAACGGGAGAACCAAAGCGAAAAACUAUUUAUCCAAAAUAGAGACUUACCUUAUAUUUCAUCAUCAUCUUCCCGUCUAUUGCGCAAAAACAUAAAAUUUCUGGUCUUCUAUGUAGAUAUGAAGAAAUAUAUCCAUUUAAUGAGAAAGAUGAAUGAAACCUGAAGACGGAAAAAAUUAAAUCAAAAGAGGAAAAGGCAGUUACCAUAGAUACAAUUGUAAAUCAACAUAGUAGAUACUAUUGUAAGACUUCAAAAUGUACUGAAUUAUCUCAAGAUGCUAUAUGGUUCUGCAUCAAAUCCUAUUUUAUAGGACACUUGCAAAACCAACAUAAAAUAAGGAAGAAACUUGAAUGGAUUGUGUCAUAGUUCUUGAGGAGCUUUUGGCAGUACCAGCUUUAAUUAAUAUUUAUCGAGGAGUAAUAUUAUCUCAAAAGUGUAUGCCUUAUAGCUCAAAGUAGAUUAAUGUGCAACUCUUGUUGCUGUUAUGUCAAAUAACCAAAAAGAAUGAAACGAAGCAUGUCAAGACAACUUCCUUCUCGUGUCAAUCAAAUACAAAUUUUCCAAAUGAAAAUGAUCCUUUUCGUGGGAACCAAAUGAACUAAAAUGUGCUCCUACCUUCUAAUCUUUGUGUGAUGUCAAGAUUGUAAACUGAGUCUAUAUAGAUCAAAAGAUAGUUCAAAUCAGUUUGAAAAAGACUACUAAGUAAUGACAAAAAUCCAAUAUUAUUUGCAAACAGAGACCAAGAUAAUUGUGAGAGACAAGAUUAGGUUUCAACAAAAUAUGAUCCCUUCAUUAUUUACAAUUAGAGAAGUAUCAAUCUAAGCCUCCUAACUCUUCAAUCUGAUCAAAGAAGAGAAAAAAUUACAUGCACUUCUUAAUGAACUUUGAUAUUAUAGUGUCUAAUAAACAUUUGAUUUGACCAUAUAUGAAAACCUUAAAGAUAAGAGCAUGAGAAGACAAAAUUUCUGGAGCAGAAAACACAAAAUAUUUCACAAGCAACCAGUGAUAAAAGCUUUGUUAUACCAUUAAACACGAGCACAAGAGAACAUAGAACCCUCAUAUAUCCAUAAUCUCUGAGAUAAUUUAAGAUGAUAGAAGAUAGAAGAAAAACACAGUUCUAUUUUUUUUUAACAAUUCAUAUUUUUGGAACGAACUAGGGUUAUAAUAUCCAAUUAAGAAAGUGAAAAGAAGCCAUCUUUGAAUAUUUGAAAAGUAAAGAUAAUGAAUUAAUGACUGAUUAAGAGUAAGAAACAACAAAUAGUCACACAAAAGUGGGAAUUUUGAAGUUAAUCGAAGAGAUUUUAGCAAAAAUGCGAAUAAACAUACUUGGAAACAAUCUCAACCCAAUAGUCUUGAAAAUCUAAGGAAACUCAAAGUCUCAACCCAUUAGUCUUGAAAAUCCAAGAAAACUAAUGAAGAUUAAUGCAAAUGAGAUAUUUAUUUAUUUUCAUUGGAAGAGUGGAGAAAGAUAUAGAUGCUUCUAGAGUAAAAAAACAAUAAAGCCUUGUUUUGAG